UCAUCCCCUGUCUCUUGGUUCUUAGUAAUUUCACUUCACAUUAAAUUCAUUCCCGUACAUUUCAUUCCCACUUUGAAGAAGGUUAUUUAGUGACAUAAUACGGUUAAUGUUUUAAUACUAGUUAGUAGUUUUUGUGUAGGGCUUAAGAGGAAGGGCUUGCCAGUGGGCUGUAAGCACUGGAGAUGAGUGAUGAAUGUGAGACGGAUACGAAUGAUUUAUGAUGCUUAUGGAAAUUGAAAUGACGUCAUGAUACAUUUUUAAUAGUAAGUGAAAAUGGAAUCCCAAUCCGUUGAUAUUGUUUAUACUUUCGGAAAUACAAAUAAAUCCCGUCAUUGCUCUUCCUUUUCUUCAUCGUCUAUUAGUACUCGUUCCUACUCCUUACUAUCCACGACAAUCGUCAAUUUCAUCAUCCCCUUUUCUCUUCCCUUCCUCUUUUCACAAUUCAAAUCUACGUAAACAAUAACUAUAAACAAAUUGCUCGGGCCCUAACCUCUUCUCCAGCAUCACUUACUCUUCUCUGCUUCAAGCUCAAAUCUGGAUUGAAUCCUUCAAGUUAAAAUAGUCAUCAUCAUUCAUAAGAUCAUGCUGGAACUCAUAAUAUAUAUUUUUAGAAUUUAUCAAUCAUCUCCUUCACAUCCAAUCACAACUUUUCCAACUUCAAUACGUAGGUUUCAAAGUAUUUUGAAGGAAUCACGGAAUACUACUACUAUGGUCCGUUAUGAAGAAUCAUUGACAUUAAUAUGCAGUUCAUUUCUUCAUCAAGAGGCCAUGGAGAACAUUGUACUAGAGUUAUAGAACUAGAUCGAGAUAGGGACCUCGUACAUGAGAGUCUGUAUAUAUUUCUGAAUAUGAUUUGUCUGUGCUCACUUUUACCCUUCACUUGUGCUUCGUUCACUAUGUUUCAUGAAGCAAAUCGGUUCUUUGUAACAAUUAACCAUCUUCAAAUCUGGGAGGAUUUUGGAUCCUAACGAAUGGAAGUAAAAACAGGGUUUCAAGACCCUCCCGAAAUAAAACAUGUUUUUUAGUUGUUGAUAAAUACAAAACCCGAUUGAUUUGUUGAGUUGUCGAGCUUUGAAGAUUGAAUAGGAUAAGGAGAUCUUCGCAGUUUGAGGUUUAAGUCAAAUUGAAACUCAGAAAGUAAAUACUUAGAAUUGAACAUUGGACAUCGUUAUCUAUGAAAUUAUAAGGAACAUCCUUCUUAAACAGCAAAUCGAAAUAAAUAAUAUUAAUUCUUGUUUUUGUAAAUAUAAAUGAUAAAAAUAUACUUAAAGUAAAGAUUUA
rnacentral:lncRNA from 1 species